GUGGAGGAGGCCUCCUCCUCCUUCUACCCGAUAGUAGGUCUCCCUCUCCCCAUCGGGAUGGUUUGUAAAUAUUGUUUUGUUGGUGUUAGGUUACAAAUCUAAGCUUCAUUGAGAGGGAUGUGCAUGUAUUGAUCUACUUGGCUGUGUCUUCCCAGUAUCACCUCUCCAGCUAGCCUUAAGUUAUGGGUUGUUUUGGUGAGCAAAGGUCUCUAUUUUGCUAUGAUGGUACUAGGUUUUCUUUGUUUUACAAAUCUAGGCAUUGGAUCUAAGGAGGGUAUAGUUUAGUUUGAUUGAUAAUCACUUUGGAGUCUUUCCCCACAUUGGCAAUGGCUGACUCUCAAUAGGCAAAGAAGCUAAAGAGCUCUACAUUGCCCCUCUGUCUUUUGGAUCUCCAGCAACCCCAUGGCUCCUUGCACAAUCUGUUGUUCUUUAAGGCUCAAUCUUCCAUUCACCUUUAUCUAGGGUUGUUUUUUAUUCCGUUGGUCUUGCAUGGAUCUCCUAAUCUUCUUAGUUUCCGAAGAUGGCCACUGAGCUCAGCGACGAUGUUUCCUUUAGCAGGCAGCUGUAUCCCUUCUUGGUAGUGUCAACCAUAGCUAGGGUUAAAUUUUGGUUGGGCCUUGUGUGUUCUAGAUUCUUGGGCCUUUUUUUCUCUUUGGGUUAAGGAUUUAGAACUGUACAUGGCUUUGGGUCUUCAUUAGGUGUUUGCCUGCUGGUUCAGGAUUGAUCUAGCAUAUGUAUUUAGCCCUAACCAUGUAAUGAUCCUUUUCUAAUGAAUGCCUAUAUCUUUCGG
rnacentral:misc_RNA from 1 species